rnacentral:rRNA from 1 species
CCUACGGGUGGCAGCAGUGAGGAAUAUUGGUCCAUGGACGGAAGUCUGAACCAGCCAUGCAGCGUGCAGGCAGACGGCUCUAUGAGUUGUCAACUGCUUUUGUACAAGGGUAAACCUGAAUACGUGUAUUCAGCUGAAAGUACUGUACGAAUAAGGAUCGGCUAACUCCGUGCCAGCAGCCGCGGUAAUACGGAGGAUGCGAGCGUUAUCCGGAUUUAUUGGGGUUAAAGGGUGCGUAGGCGGAAUGCCAAGUCAGCGGUAAAGUCGCGGGGCUCAACCUCGCUCCGCCGUUGAAACUGGCGUUCUUCAGUGGGCGAGAAGUAGGCGGAAUGCGUGGUGUAGCGGUGAAAUUCAGAGAUAGCACGCAGAACUCCGAUUGCGAAGGCAGCAUACCGGCGCCCAACUGACGCUGAAGCACGAAAGCGUGUGUAUCGAACAGGAUUAGAUACCCCGGUAGUC